rnacentral:lncRNA from 1 species
UAGUACAUGGUGGCUUUAUCAUCCCUACUACUACAACAACAACUGAACAAGAACAAGAACAAGAACAAGAAGAAGCUCUAACUAGUUAGUAUUUGUCUUGUCCUGAUUGGAUAGGGAGCAGUUGUAACCCCUCGAGAUAUGGUCGUCACCACUCUUUCUGUUCCAUGCUCGAGCUCGUUGCACGUGCCACUUCACCAAUUCCAGUUCAGACUUUCUUCUACAAGACAAAUUAAUUAAGCAAAUCAAAGCUUAUAUUGGCAAGGGAAGAAGUCCUCCUCCUCACCACCUUGAUAUAUCAACAUGGACCGACGAUCUUCAACUCUCUAAUUAACAGUCACCUUUUG